rnacentral:tRNA from 1 species
GCCGGGAUGGCGGAAUGGCAGACGCAGUGGACUCAAAAUCCACCGGACCUUAGGGUUCAUAAGGGUUCAACUCCCUUUCCCGGCA